UGGAAAUAAUUAAACCAAGGAACUCAGCCUCCCUUGUCCGUACCAGCAGGAGUGGCAUCGGCCAGGAUAAACUAAAACCCAGCCAGGCUGAAGUAGGUAUAAACAAAGAAAAUAUUGAGAAAGGAGAAGAAGAGUGGAAUGUUGGCUUCUUUCAGAUUGGAAGAAUAGAACAAAAUGUUUUGGCAAUCCUGAAACAAGAUGCUAUAGACAUCUGUGUGCAGAUUUUGUGUGGAUACAGUUUUCAACUUCUCUGGAUAAACACCAAGGAGCCUGGUUGCUGGAUUGUAUGUGCUCUGGCUUCUUGGAGUCACCUCAACAUUAAAUUGUGUUUUACCCUGCGUGGGAAAACCAUCUAAUGGUUGGCAUCUGCGAUAUCUGCUCACGUUUACAGACUUCAUUACCGACUCCGUUAGGUUUGUCUUAAGUCGAGAUUCUGUCAGCAACCAACGCCUUCUGUUCAA